AUGCCAUUUUACCCUGAUUUUGUUAAAUAAUGCUCCAUUUUUCUACACUUAUUUCUUGCUCCAAAAAUGCGCCACCAAACAAAAUAAUACACAAAACAAGUACAAAAGGUAUAAUGGAAUCGCACAAACUGGUCAUGUUAGCGAUGGAGAGGAAAAAAUGCGAUGAUGGAGACAAUCGGCACAACAGUAAUGGAGACAAGAAACUGGGGAGUGACGCUCUUAUGCGGUGAAUAAUUGUUCUUGAAAAGCCAGCCAUUUGGUAUACCUGGGCUUCUUGGCCUCCUUUGGCUUCUUCCUCCGGUGCUCCUUUACGUUCCUAAUCAUCUUGUACUUCUUGAAACCCAACCUUAACAAUCCCCCACCACCCCAUCCCUGGAUCAUCGUGAGAGAUUAAUCGUAGAUGUGUCCAGCGAGCCAGGGAACAAGAAUCAUCUGUGUACAAAGAGUUUCGAUCCAUGUUUCACGAAUCGAAUCUUCAUGUACUGAGUAUACCUGACCUUAUCCUUUGUGCCGCUGAGAUAUGCCCUGAGAGGUGUACUUCUUCCUCAAUCGCACUGACGCCCGGUUGUUCUCGUUCUUGAUAUCUGCAAAAAAAUUAAAUAUGUGCUUACAUGAAAUACAUAAUCGCGUACGAAUAUUGCAAUUCACUGAUAGUAAAUGAAUCAAAAUUG